GCAGCCCUGGAGACUGAAGUUGCUUUUUCUCCCAUUGCUCAUGUUUUCAUUAUUCCUUGGCAGAGAGGAAACAGACUACACAGUCUGCUUUGAAGACACACCUUAGAUUAUGUAAUCCUGCUGAAGCGGAAUUCAUGUUUUGGUUUUCGGCAAAGUCCUCAAUGAGCAGCGACGUCACAGACCUCCACAGCCGUGCUGAUUCCUCCCAGAACUGGUUGUGACUGUAUCAAAGAAAGCUCCUUUACACGGAAACAGAUGGGGCACAGCUGAGCCUCACUGAGAGCCGUACAGGAAGCAAGACAGCACCGCAGAGGGACUGUGGCUGACCUUCCUUGCACCCGAAAUGUUAAUUUCAACUGUUUGAAUCAUUUUAUUGCUAAAGUUAAAGAAUAAACUUAGCAAUGAUACAA